CGCCUGGGGAGUACGGGUGAGGUAACGGCUCACCAAGGCGACGACGGGUAGCCGGCCUGAGAGGGUGACCGGCCACACUGGGACUGAGACACGGCCCAGACUCCUACGGGAGGCAGCAGUGGGGAAUAUUGCACAAUGGGCGCAAGCCUGAUGCAGCAACGCCGCGUGAGGGAUGACGGCCUUCGGGUUGUAAACCUCUUUUAGCAGGGAAGAAGCGAAAGUGACGGUACCUGCAGAAAAAGCACCGGCUAACUACGUGCCAGCAGCCGCGGUAAUACGUAGGGUGCAAGCGUUGUCCGGAAUUAUUGGGCGUAAAGAGCUCGUAGGCGGUUUGUCACGUCUGCUGUGAAAAUCCAAGGCUCAACCUUGGACUUGCAGUGGGUACGGGCAGGCUAGAGUGCGGUAGGGGAGAUGGGAAUUCCUGGUGUAGCGGUGGAAUGCGCAGAUAUCAGGAGGAACACCAAUGGCGAAGGCACAUCUCUGGGCCGUAACUGACGCUGAGGAGCGAAAGCGUGGGGAGCGAACAGGAUUAGAUACCCUGGUAGUCCACGCCGUAAACGGUGGGUGCUAGCUGUGGGCCACAUUCCACGUGGUCCGUGACGAAGU
rnacentral:rRNA from 1 species